UGUCACAAUAGUAAUUCAACCUAGCACGAGAAGAACUAUUCAUUCACACAAUUGGUCAUCACGCUUGGUUGAAAAGCCAGUGGCGCGAAGCUACCAUGCGUUGGAUUAUGACUGAACCCCUCUAAGUGGUAGGUGAAAGUGACG
rnacentral:ncRNA from 1 species